rnacentral:rRNA from 1 species
GCGCAGCAGGCGAGAAAACUUCACACUGUGCGAAAGCACGAUGAGGGAAUCCCAAGUGCUUGCACGUAAGUGUAAGCUGUUUCUCUGUCUAAAACGCAGAGAGAGUAAGGGCUGGGUAAGACGGGUGCCAGCCGCCGCGGUAAUACCUGCAGCUCAAGUGGUGACCGUUAUUAUUGGGCCUAAAACGUCCGUAGCCGGUUUAAUAAAUGCCUGGGUAAAUUGUGUAGCUUAACUAUACGAAUUCCGGGUAGACUGUUAAACUUGAGACCGGGAGAAGUUAGAGGUACUCCUGGGGUAGAGGUGAAAUUCUGUAAUCCUAGGGGGACCACCAGUGGCGAAGGCGCCUAACUAGAACGGGUCUGACGGUGAGGGACGAAGCCCUGGGGCGCAAACGGGAUUAGAUACCCGGUAGU